rnacentral:tRNA from 1 species
UCCUGACUCAGACAGUAAAGAAUCUGCCUGUAAUGCAGGAGACCCAGGUUCAAUCCCUGGGUUGGGAA